rnacentral:rRNA from 1 species
GUAUUUUGACUGUGCUAAGGUAGCAUAAUCAUUAGAUUUUUAAUUGGAAUCUUGUUUGAAUGGUUAAAUGAAAUAAAUGCUUUUUUAUUUUAAUUUUUGAAUUUUAUUUUUAAGUAAAAAAGCUUAAAUAAUUAUAAGGGACGAGAAGACCCUAUAGAAUUUUAAAUAUAUUAUUAUAUUUUAUAAAUUUAUAAUUUUUAUUUUAUAUAUUAAUAAUUUUUUGUUGGGGCGAUAAUUAAAUUUUUUAAACUUUAAAUAUAUUUUCAUUUAUUAAUGUUUUUAUGAUCCUUUAUUAUUGAUUAAAAAAAUAAAUUACCUUAGGGAUAACAGCAUAAUAUUAUUAUGAAGUUCUUAUUUUUAAUAUUGUUUAUGACCUCGAUGUUGGAUUAAAUUAAAUAUUUAUAUGUAGAUAUAUAAAUAAUAAGUCUGUUCGACUUUUAAUUAUUUACAUGAUCUGAGUUCAAACCGGUGUAAGCCAGGUCGGUUUCUAUCU